rnacentral:lncRNA from 1 species
GGCUGGGAGCCUCACCACCACUAGUGUCCAAUCAUAGCACAGGCAAAAACUGGAGCCCAGUUAAAUUCCGUUGUUUUCUCAAAAAACAGAUGAGCAUUUGGACCUGAGACAUCCACAUUCAGGGAGUGAACUCUUCCUGGCUGCAGGAACAAGAAUGUAUGAUUCUGUGCGCAGUGAGAAAAGCCCGGAGUGAGCGAGCAGCCCUUUGCUUUGGCAGGGCCUGAGGAAAGAUCCCCCGUGUCCUCGGAGAGCUGGUGACAAGGUCACGCUGACCUGAGGAAAGCCAAGUAACUUCUGGAAAUCCCAAAUCGGGUCAACAAUGCGAGAUCUGUCCACCAUUCAGAUUUAAGUGAAGUCACC